rnacentral:lncRNA from 1 species
AUCAGCGCAUGUCAAUCAGAUGUAUCUUUCGUUUGCCUCCUUUAUUAAUCUGUACAAAUGUAUUUAAAGUGAAAACAAACAUUUCAUAUCAAAUACGGCCGUCUAUAUCUUUCAAAAACCGAACAGAUAAUAGAUGAAGAAAUUAAGAGAAUUGAUAGCUUGACUAAUCAGUGUUUAAGGGAACAUAAUGUGGGAUUGAGGAAGACAAAAUAGGCAAAUGGUUGCCCACAAAGUCCACCCGUUCGUUUGGUGAUUAGAAAUUCUAGGGUUCUUCUGUAUGGACCCUCACAAUGUCUUCUUUUCUACAUACAAUGACAAUGGCAUUAUCCAAUGGCUUGUUUGCAAAAUGGCAUCUUUUAUCGACAUUACUUUACCAUUGAAGACAAGUUUUCUUCACAUAUCUCUGUAAUUUCUCAUGUGGAUGGUGACCAGGCUAUUUGUUGGUCCAAGCAGGUCCCCUCUCUAAAACCCUACGAAUCUAAUUCAGCUUUUGUAUUCAUUUCAUGUACGUUAAGAGACAAUGCUUCAUGGUCCAUCCCAACCCCCACCACCAAUCUUGAGCCAGUCGCGUCCUGCCUCUCUCUCAAUCUAUAAGAUCCUUAGUUGGUCAAGGAUUUUUCAUAUGUGCAUAUAUAUUAUAACAAAUUCUCGAGAUUGGAAUAUCAGAAACUAUUUAG